rnacentral:rRNA from 1 species
AGCGGCGCAAGGGUGCGUAACACGUGGAUCAUCUGCCUGGAAGUUCGGAAUAAUCCCGAGAAAUCGGGACUAAUGCCGGAUGUGGUUGAAAGACUAAAGUUGGGGACCGCAAGGCCUGACGCUUCCAGAUGAGUCCGCGGCCUAUCAGCUAGUUGGCGGGGUAACGGCCCACCAAGGCUAAGACGGGUAGCUGGUCUGAGAGGACGACCAGCCACACUGGAACUGAGACACGGUCCAGACACCUACGGGUGGCAGCAGUCGAGAAUUUUUCUCAAUGGGCGAAAGCCUGAAGGAGCGACGCCGCGUGGGGGAUGAAGGGCUUCGGUCCGUAAACCCCUGUCAUUUGCGAACAAACCUUACUUGUGAACAACAGGUGAGCUGAUUGUAGCGAAAGAGGAAGGGACGGCUAACUCUGUGCCAGCAGCCGCGGUAAUACAGAGGUCCCAAGCGUUGUUCGGAUUCACUGGGCGUAAAGGGUGCGCAGGUGGGUUGGCAAGUUUGACGUGAAAGCCCCGGGCUUAACCCGGGAAUGGCGUUGAAAACUGCUGA